GUGGGGAAUUUUGGACAAUGGGCGCAAGCCUGAUCCAGCAAUGCCGCGUGCAGGAAGAAGGCCUUCGGGUUGUAAACUGCUUUUGUACGGAACGAAACGGUCCUGGUUAAUACCCGGGGCUAAUGACGGUACCGUAAGAAUAAGCACCGGCUAACUACGUUCCAGCAGCCGCGGUAAUACGUAGGGUGCAAGCGUUAAUCGGAAUUACUGGGCGUAAAGCGUGCGCAGGCGGUUUUGUAAGACAGGCCGGAAAUCCCCGGGCUCAACCUGGGAAUUGCGGUUGUGACUGCAAGGCUGGAGUGCGGCAGAGGGGGAUGGAAUUCCGCGUGUAGCAGUGAAAUGCGUAGAUAUGCGGAGGAACACCGAUGGCGAAGGCAAUCCCCUGGGCCUGCACUGACGCUCAUGCACGAAAGCGUGGGGAGCAAACAGGAUUAGAAACCCUAGUAGUCC
rnacentral:rRNA from 1 species